AAGUCGUAACAAGGUUUCCGUAGGUGAACCUGCGGAAGGAUCAUUAUUGAAUAACUGGUGUCUUCGGACCCAAACCCUCAUAAUUUCCUUCUUAAUACCUGUGAACUGUUUUAGAGAAUGCAAUGCUGAAUUGAGCUUUCGGAGGGGUGCAAGCCGCUCGGAUCGCUGUCUUUACAUUGCUUCUCGACAAUUUUAUAUCAAAAACAACGUCUUAGUAUGUAUCAAAUUUAAAAUUCAAUCCAAGCAAUUGGGGCGAAUCAUAUAACAAAAUACAA
rnacentral:misc_RNA from 1 species